GGGUUGUGAGGUUAAGCGACUAAGCGUACACGGUGGAUGCCUAGGCAGUCAGAGGCGAUGAAGGGCGUGCUAAUCUGCGAAAAGCGUCGGUAAGCUGAUAUGAAGCGUAAUAACCGACGAUACCCGAAUGGGGAAACCCAGUGCAAUUCGUUGCACUAUCGUUAGAUGAAUACAUAGUCUAACGAGGCGAACCGGGGGAACUGAAACAUCUAAGUACCCCGAGGAAAAGAAAUCAACCGAGAUUCCCCCAGUAGCGGCGAGCGAACGGGGAGGAGCCCAGAGUCUGAAUCAAGUGGUGUGUUAGUGGAAGCGUCUGGAAAGUCGCACGGUACAGGGUGAUAGUCCCGUACACCAAAACACACUGCCUGUGAACUCGAUGAGUAGGGCGGGACACGUGACAUCCUGUCUGAAUAUGGGGGGACCAUCCUCCAAGGCUAAAUACUCCUGACUGACCGAUAGUGAACCAGUACCGUGAGGGAAAGGCGAAAAGAACCCCGGCGAGGGGAGUGAAAUAGAACCUGAAACCGUGUACGUACAAGCAGUGGGAGCACCUUCGUGGUGUGACUGCGUACCUUUUGUAUAAUGGGUCAGCGACUUAUAUUUUGUAGCAAGGUUAACCGAAUAGGGGAGCCGUAGGGAAACCGAGUCUUAACUGGGCGUCUAGUUGCAAGGUAUAGACCCGAAACCCGGUGAUCUAGCCAUGGGCAGGUUGAAGGUUGGGUAACACUAACUGGAGGACCGAACCGACUAAUGUUGAAAAAUUAGCGGAUGACUUGUGGCUGGGGGUGAAAGGCCAAUCAAACCGGGAGAUAGCUGGUUCUCCCCGAAAGCUAUUUAGGUAGCGCCUCGUGAACUCAUCUUCGGGGGUAGAGCACUGUUUCGGCUAGGGGGCCAUCCCGGCUUACCAAACCGAUGCAAACUCCGAAUACCGAAGAAUGUUAUCACGGGAGACACACGGCGGGUGCUAACGUCCGUCGUGAAGAGGGAAACAACCCAGACCGCCAGCUAAGGUCCCAAAGUCAUGGUUAAGUGGGAAACGAUGUGGGAAGGCAUAGACAGCCAGGAUGUUGGCUUAGAAGCAGCCAUCAUUUAAAGAAAGCGUAAUAGCUCACUGGUCGAGUCGGCCUGCGCGGAAGAUGUAACGGGGCUAAACCAUGCACCGAAGCUGCGGCAGCGACGCUUAGGCGUUGUUGGGUAGGGGAGCGUUCUGUAAGCCGUUGAAGGUAGUCUGUGAGGGCUGCUGGAGGUAUCAGAAGUGCGAAUGCUGACAUAAGUAACGAUAAUGCGGGUGAAAAACCCGCACGCCGGAAGACCAAGGGUUCCUGUCCAACGUUAAUCGGGGCAGGGUGAGUCGACCCCUAAGGCGAGGCUGAAAAGCGUAGUCGAUGGGAAACAGGUUAAUAUUCCUGUACUUGGUGUUACUGCGAAGGGGGACGGAGAAGGCUAGGCUAGCCGGGCGACGGUUGUCCCGGUUUAAGCAUGUAGGCGGAGUGACUUGGUAAAUCCGGUUGCUUAUCAACGCUGAGGUGUGAUGACGAUGCACUACGGUGCAGAAGUAGUUGAUGCCAUGCUUCCAGGAAAAGCCUCUAAGCAUCAGGUAACAUGAAAUCGUACCCCAAACCGACACAGGUGGUCAGGUAGAGAAUACUCAGGCGCUUGAGAGAACUCGGGUGAAGGAACUAGGCAAAAUGGUGCCGUAACUUCGGGAGAAGGCACGCUGGCGCUAGGUGAAGAGACUUGCUCUCGGAGCUGAAGCCAGUCGCAGAUACCAGCUGGCUGCAACUGUUUAAUAAAAACACAGCACUGUGCAAACACGAAAGUGGACGUAUACGGUGUGACGCCUGCCCGGUGCUGGAAGGUUAAUUGAUGGGGUCAGCCGCAAGGCGAAGCUCUUGAUCGAAGCCCCAGUAAACGGCGGCCGUAACUAUAACGGUCCUAAGGUAGCGAAAUUCCUUGUCGGGUAAGUUCCGACCUGCACGAAUGGCGUAAUGAUGGCCAGGCUGUCUCCACCCGAGACUCAGUGAAAUUGAACUCGCUGUGAAGAUGCAGUGUACCCGCGGCAAGACGGAAAGACCCCGUGAACCUUUACUAUAGCUUGACACUGAACAUUGAGCCUUGAUGUGUAGGAUAGGUGGGAGGCAUCGAAGUGUGGACGCCAGUCUGCAUGGAGCCAACCUUGAAAUACCACCCUUUAAUGUUUGAUGUUCUAACUCGGCCCCAUUAUCUGGGGUGAGGACAGUGUCUGGUGGGUAGUUUGACUGGGGCGGUCUCCUCCCAAAGAGUAACGGAGGAGCACGAAGGUUAGCUAAUCACGGUCGGACAUCGUGAGGUUAGUGCAAAGGCAUAAGCUAGCUUGACUGCGAGAGUGACGGCUCGAGCAGGUACGAAAGUAGGUCUUAGUGAUCCGGUGGUUCUGAAUGGAAGGGCCAUCGCUCAACGGAUAAAAGGUACUCCGGGGAUAACAGGCUGAUACCGCCCAAGAGUUCAUAUCGACGGCGGUGUUUGGCACCUCGAUGUCGGCUCAUCACAUCCUGGGGCUGAAGUAGGUCCCAAGGGUAUGGCUGUUCGCCAUUUAAAGUGGUACGCGAGCUGGGUUUAGAACGUCGUGAGACAGUUCGGUCCCUAUCUGCCGUGGGCGUUGGAAGAUUGAGAGGGGCUGCUCCUAGUACGAGAGGACCGGAGUGGACGAAUCACUGGUGUUCGGGUUGUCAUGCCAAUGGCAUUGCCCGGUAGCUAAAUUCGGAAGAGAUAACCGCUGAAAGCAUCUAAGCGGGAAACUUGCCUCGAGAUGAGUCUUCCCUGGGGCUUCAAGCCCCUGAAGGAACGUUAAAGACGAUGACGUUGAUAGGCUGGGUGUGUAAGUGCAGCGAUGCAUUGAGCUAACCAGUACUAAUGAUCCGUGAGGCUUAACCUUACAACACCAAAGGUGUUUUG
rnacentral:rRNA from 1 species